rnacentral:rRNA from 1 species
AUGAGGGAGAUCAUAAGCAUCCACAUCGGGCAGGCGGGCAUCCAGGUGGGGAAUUCCUGCUGGGAGCUCUACUGCCUCGAGCAUGGCAUCCAGCCCGACGGCCUCAUGCCCAGUGAUACCUCGGUUGGGGUUGCAAAGGAUGCAUUCAACACGUUCUUCAGCGAAACGGGUUCAGGGAAGCACGUCCCGAGGGCCUUGUUCGUCGAUCUGGAGCCCACGGUCAUCGACGAGGUGAGGACGGGCGCAUACCGCCAGCUCUUCCAUCCAGAGCAGCUCAUCUCCCACAAUGAAGAUGCUGCUAACAACUUUGCCCGUGGACACUACACAGUUGGAAGAGAAGUGGUGGACCUUUGCCUUGACCGGAUCAGAAAAUUGGCGGAUAACUGCACUGGCCUCCAAGGUUUCUUGGUUUUCAAUGCUGUUGGUGGUGGAACUGGCUCAGGGCUUGGUUCAUUGCUUCUGGAGCGCCUAUCGGUCGACUAUGGCAGGAAAUCGAAGCUUGGUUUCACUAUCUAUCCUUCACCACAGAUUUCGACGGCCGUUGUGGAGCCUUACAACAGCGUGCUCUCAACCCACUCGCUGAUCGAGCACACCGACGUCGUCGUUCUGCUGGACAACGAGGCCAUCUACGACAUCUGCAAGAGGUCCCUGGACAUCGAGCGCCCGACCUACACCAACCUGAACAGGCUGAUAUCCCAGGUGAUAUCGUCCCUGACCACCUCGCUGCGGUUCGACGGCGCCAUCAACGUGGACAUAACCGAGUUCCAGACCAACCUGGUGCCGUACCCGAGGAUCCACUUCAUGCUCUCUUCCUACGCGCCCAUCAUCUCCGCGGAGAAGGCCUUCCAUGAGCAGCACUCCGUCCCCGAGAUCACCAACUCUGUGUUCGAGCCGUCGAGCGUCAUGGCCAAGUGCGACCCCCGGCACGGCAAGUACAUGGCCUGCUGCCUCAUGUACCGCGGCGACGUCGUGCCCAAGGACGUCAACUCCGCCGUCCACUCCAUCAAGACCAAGAGGACCGUGCAGUUCGUCGAUUGGUGCCCGACUGGGUUCAAGUGUGGGAUAAACUACCAGCCGCCGACGGUGGUUCCGGGAGGGGACCUGGCCAAGGUGCGCCGGGCGGUGUGCAUGAUCAGCAACAACACGGCCGUGGCCGAGGUCUUCUCGCGCAUCGACCGCAAGUUCGACCUCAUGUACGCCAAGCGCGCGUUCGUGCACUGGUACGUCGGGGAAGGGAUGGAGGAGGGGGAGUUCUCGGAGGCCAGGGAGGAUCUGGCCGCGCUGGAGAAGGACUACGAGGAGGUCGGAGCUGAGGGUGAAGACGACGAGGACGAAGGCGAUGAGUACUGA